CGGGACAACCAGAGUCACCCGGAAGACGCGGACACUGGACUGCCAGGCCCUCGGAUCCGGAUUCCGCGCUUGUGUGGAGUCUGGAGCCGGAAACUCCAGUAUGAUUAUGAAAGCCCUCAAGUGAGACCAGCUCAGGUAAAGAGGAUUAUGCUCAACAAGCAAGAACAAACCUUCACCUUUCUACAAUCCUUAGUACAGCAUUAUACAGUCUAUUGCCUGCCAUCUCUGAUUUCCUAUAGUGGGAACAACUUCAUUAAAAAAAAAAAAAAAAAAAA